GUAGCAGAAUAGUUUGUUCUUUAAUUGGGAGUUGGUAUGAAGGGUUACACAAAAAAUAUCUUUUAAAUUAAAUUAAGUAAAUUAAGGUUUAAGUUAAAAUGCUUAAAUAACGUAAAGGGACGAUAAGACCCUAAAAGCUUUAUUUAUUAGGUAUUGGAUUAACUUUAUAGUAAAAUUAGAUAAAUAGUAAAAUUAGCUGGGGAAGUGGUUUUAAAGAAUUAAAAUUUAAGAAUGCUUAAUCUUAGGAUAGAAGGUCUUAUAUAUAGGAAUUAUUGGAUAAAGUUACUUUAGGGAUAACAGCGCAAUAAUUUUGGAGAGUUCUUAUUUAUAAUAUUAUGUGCGACCUCGAUGUUGAAUUAAAAUGUCUUAAGGGAGUAGAAGAUCUAUAGGAGGGUUUGUUCAACCUUUAAAUUUUU
rnacentral:rRNA from 1 species